rnacentral:rRNA from 1 species
GCCAGCCUAAAUCUUGUUUGUAAGAUGGAGGCGAAGGGAAACCGAGUACGAAUAGUGCGACUUGAGUUGCUGGCAAUAGACCCGAAGCGGAGGUGAUCUACUUAUGAGCAGGUUGAAGCUGCAGUAACAUGCAGUGGAGGACCGAACUCGUGGAUGUUGAAAAAUCCUGAGAUGACUUGUGAGUAGGAGCGAAAGACUAAUCAAACCCCGUGAUAGCUGGUUCUCUCCGAAAUAGUUUGAGGGCUAGCGUUGGAUUAAGUACUCCGAGGAGGUAGAGCACUGGAUGGCUUAGAGUCCCCACCAGGAUAUCAAAACCAAUCAAACUCCGAAUUCCUCGGAUCUCAGUAUUCCAGCAGUCAGACGGCGAGGGAUAAGCUUCGUCGUCAAGAGGGCAACAGCCCAGACCAACAGCUAAGGCGCCUAAAUACAGUUAAGUGGAAAGGAUGUGACGUUGCAUAGACAGUGAGGAUGUUGGCUUAGAGGCAGCCAUCAUUUAAACAGUGCGUAAUAGCUGACUCAUCGAGCGAUGUCGCGCCGAAAAUGAUUGGCGAUCAAACUGUAUGCCGAAGCUUUGGAUGUUCAUGAUCUUCGGAUCAUGAGCGUGGUAGGAGAGCGUUCUGAGCGCGUUGAAGCCUUACUGAAAAGGACGGUGGAGUGCUCAGAAGUGAGAAUGCAGACAUGAGUAGCGAUAAACCAGAUGAGAAUUCUGGUCGCCGUAAACCUAAGGUUUCCUGGGGCAGGUUCGUCCUCCCAGGGUUAGUCGGGAGCUAAGGCGAGGCCGUAAGGCGUAGUCGAUGCACAGCAGAUUAAUAUUCCUGCACCGGCUUGGGUUAAGGUCUAAAAUGCGCAAGGAGAAAAGUGACUAGGCAAUCGAAUGCUGAGCUUAGCCUUCGGGCGAAGCGUAUCACCGGACAAUUUGCCGAGAAAAGCUUUCAGUUGUUCCCCAGGCUGCCCGUACCGUAAACCGACACAGGUGGGUGAGUCGAAUAGACUAAGGCGCGCGAGAGAAACCUCUCUAAGGAACUCGGCACAUUAGCCCCGUAACUUCGGGAGAAGGGGUGCCCCUCGCAAGAGGGGUCUCAGUAAAUUGCGUUUAGCGACUGUUUAACAAAAACACAGCACUCUGCCAAGUCGUGAAGACGACGUAUAGGGUGUGACGCCUGCCCGGUGCCGGAAGGUUAAGGAGAGAUGUGAAAGCUUUGAACCGAAGCCCCGGUAAACGGCGGCCGUAACUAUAACGGUCCUAAGGUAGCGAAAUUCCUUGUCGGGUAAGUUCCGACCUGCACGAAUCGUGUAACGACUGAACGACUGUCUCGGAGAGGAUCUCGGCGAAAUUGUAACUGCGGUGAAGAUGCCGCAUGCCCGCAGUAGGACGGAAAGACCCUAUGCACCUUUACUGUAAGCUGGUAUUGUGUUCUGGUUAACGAUGCGUAGCGUAGGUGGGAGGCUUUGAUCUCGGGGCUUCGGUUCCGAGGGAGCCGCAAUGUGAAACACCACUCUUUGUUAAUUAGGAUUCUAACUUCUACCUGUCAGCCAGGAGAAGGACAGUGCCUGCGGGUCAGUUUGGCUGGGGCGGCUUCCUCCCAAAGUGUAACGGAGGAGCGCAAAGCUGGGCUCAGCAUGGUUUGCAACCAUGCGUCGAGCGUAUGGGUAGAAGCCCGGUUAACUGCGAGACCAACAAGUCGAGCAGAUGCGAAAGCAGGCCCAAAUGAUCCGAUGGUUUAAUGUGGAAUUGCCAUCGCUCAACGGACAAAAGGUACGCUAGGGAUAACAGGCUGAUCGAGUCCAAGAGCUCAUAUCGACGACUCGGUUUGGCACCUCGAUGUCGGCUCAUCGCAUCCUGGGGCUGGAGAAGGUCCCAAGGGUCCGGCUGUUCGCCGGUUAAAGCGGUACGCGAGCUGGGUUCAGAACGUCGUGAGACAGUUCGGUCCUUAUCCACUGUGGGCGCAGGAAACUUGAGGGGUUCAUUCUCUAGUACGAGAGGACCGAGAAUGACGCACUUCUGGUGUGGCAGUUGUUCCGUCAGGGGCAUCGCUGCGUAGCCAUGUGCGGAAGAGAUAAGCGCUGAAAGCAUCUAAGUGCCAAGCUCAUCCCAAGAUACGGUCUCCCGGGUCGCAAGACCCCUAAAGAGGCCAGGUAGACCACCUGGUUGA